rnacentral:rRNA from 1 species
UACAGAGGUGGCAAGCGUUGUUCGGAAUUACUGGGCGUAAAGGGCGCGUAGGCGGCCUCUGCAAGUCGACUGUGAAAUCUCCGGGCUUAACCCGGAAAGGUCAGCCGAUACUGCAGGGCUAGAGUGCAGAAGGGGCAACUGGAAUUCUCGGUGUAGCGGUGAAAUGCGUAGAUAUCGAGAGGAACACCUGCGGCGAAGGCGGGUUGCUGGGCUGACACUGACGCUGAGGCGCGAAAGCUAGGGGAGCGAACGGG